CAGAGUAUUUCUUUGCAGCACCUUCUCAACUGCUGAUGGAGGACUGGCUGCAAUCACUACAGAAUAAUAUAGGACACAGUAACAGACCAGACUCCAGGGCAAAGGUGCAGCCUUUCGUUCCAAACACAGAGACCUCUCAGACAAGAUUGUGGGGCUUUCCAGAAAGAGACUGCUGAAAGACUAACCAUCAAAAGCUCGCUCCUGAGGAGAACACCUUCCUUCAAAAUCAAACCGGAAAAAGAGCCUGCAGAAUUUUCCAGAGAUUUUAAGGAAGACGGGACUGCAGUAACACAAGCCUCCAUCACCACACUGAGACAGAACAAAGUGGUAAUAAAAAAAAUCUGCCUCCAUCUCUGCUAGAAGCAGGAAGAGAAAAAUGACAUUUGCCCCAAUGAAUAUCAGACCCUUCA
rnacentral:lncRNA from 1 species